UACGAAGGGGGGCUAGCGUUGCUCGGAAUGACUGGGCGUAAAGGGCGCGUAGGCGGCGCAGACAGUCAGAUGUGAAAUUCCUGGGCUCAACCUGGGGGGCUGCGUUUGAUACGUGCAGACUUGAGUUCGGAAGAGGGUCGUGGAAUUCCCAGUGUAGAGGUGAAAUUCGUAGAUAUUGGGAAGAACACCGGUGGCGAAGGCGGCGACCUGGUCCGAUACUGACGGCUGAGGCGCGAAAGCGUGGGGAGCAAACAGG
rnacentral:rRNA from 1 species